CCUCUCCAUCCGUCUGCACAUCCUUCUCGCUGACGGCUUUCUUGUUGAGCAGAUUGCUAAUCUCCAUGAUGUUACCGAUGAUCUCCACGGGGCCAGUCAGGGUCUUCUUCCUCGGGGAGAGGUCGUCCUUCAGCUUCUUCAGACGUUCCCAAGUCCAGGUCGUCUCUAGUGCCGGUCUGAGCAUCCAAAUAUGUGGCAGGAACCCAUCCUUGUUCUUCUGCAGUACUGACGAACCACCAGCCUACACACACCCAGAGAAAGAAAACAUAUACAUACAACGCUGCGAAGCUCAACACGAAAGCACAUUUUUCAGGUGGACCACACAUCACGGACCACUCGGGGCCAAAAACAGCUUUCACGCUCAACAAAAUUUACCGACAAAAUCUUGCUGCAAUUGAACCUUGGUCUGAGAAAACAAGAAAGGACCUAAUAUAGAACCCUGAGGAUCCUCGUGAUGAGACGACGCCUAGUAACACACAAACACUCUGAAUAUAAACAACUUAAAAUCAGGUUAAAAGUGAUUGACAUUUGGAGACGUUUUAAGGAAGUAGUUGGAACUCACCCUGCAAUAGUCGUCUAUAAAGCGCAGCCGCUUCAUUGCCACAUCUCGUACAUGACUUCGUCGAAACAGGAUUUUUCCUUAAUGAGGAAAAAGAGUCAUCAAUAGAGGGAGUUAAAAAUAACACAAGACAGAUACUAUGGUACUGAACACAAGAAAAAAAAUAUAUUGGAAAUCAUACUUUUAAAAAACAGCACAUUGUUUUUCACAAAAAGCAAAUCAACAUCUGCCUGAGCAAUGGACCAGAAACUUUGAUCGCCAAUUAACAAUAUUAUUCUGUCAGCAUGACAAAUUUGAAGAUUUUGCUAGAGUUAAAACUACUAUAAUCCUUUUAUCCCUUCUUAUUUGAGGUUUUUUUUUUUUACUUGAGUGCCCAAAACGCAACAGCAAUAUGAUACAAAACAAAAUAUAUUCAAAUUCAGCUGGCCUUAGGUCAGCUUCCUCUAUUAUCUCAGUCCUAUUGCAUUAUAUGAGAUCCAACAAAAUGGUUUUCUAAUCAGAUUAAACAGGUAAUCCGAGAACUACAGGAUGCUGUUUUUAGGAAGUAUGGAGGUCUACAAGGAUAUAAAGGUGCAACAAUAUAUAUUUAUAUAUUUUUUCGUGAAAAGCAAGGAAUUCUGAGCUCUAAAUCAUUUCAAUCUCGCCAUAUUGUAUUGUGCUGGAUGACAUGGCUUCCUGUGCCCACGAGUCAUCGACUUUAAUGCCACAGAACAGCAUGAGGCAUUUUAUGAUAUUGUUUAUCAAUGUGGGUGUCAAGCCUUAUUAAAUUGGGGGUGCAGCUGGGGAAAGAAGGGAGAGAUAUAGUGUUUUCAUGUGUGUGUGUGUGUGUGUGUGAUACAUUAACUUUCAAGGUUGUAUAUGAGUUUGAACAGCGACAGAUGAGCCAUCCAUCCAUCAGAGAGAGAGGGACGUAAAUAGAAACAGCUAGAGAGACAGAGUGGUCCUAACACUUUACUGAAAAAACUGAUACACCAUUCAAGCUCUAAACAGCACAGUUCAACACCAACCCCAAAUACACUCUUGUUCCCAGUUCUCUUUGUUUCCAUAUUUAUAUUUUGGUCUAGUCUCUGCCUGACCUUUUCAUUGGUGUAUAUGGUCCUGUGUAUAUGGUUCUUUGACAUUCACUUGUAUUAUCACUUCUGAAUAUGAAUUAUCGUACAUGUGUAAUGACAGACAGCUAAACUGACAGACGGAUUUUCUUACCACACUGAAUUUACAACCUUUCUACACUUAUCCACUUUGGCUUUAAUGUUGUAUGAUUGAAUCUUGCUGUUUAACCCAUUGAAAGAACCCUCAAAUAUGUUACAUACACUAUAUUGCAUCAUUCAUCGGAUUGUCAGACAGAGAAGCGUGAUUCAUCACUCCAGAGAACAUGUCUCCACUGCUCUAGAGUCCAGUGGUGGCAUGCUUUACACCACUGCAUCCAAUGCUUUGCAUUGCAUUUGAUGAUGUAAGGCUUUGGUGCAGCUGCUCAGCCAUGAAAACCCAUUCCAUGAAGCUUUCUACGCGCUGUUCUUGAGCUAACCUGAAGGCCACAUUAGGUUUGUAGCUAUUGACUCUGCAGAAAGUUAUCGACUUCUGUGCAGCUGUGCACUUCAGCAUGCGCUGACCCCGCUCUGUGAUUUUACGUGGAGUUUCUUUCACAAAUGUUUGUAGAAGCAGUCUGCAUGCCUAGGUGCUUGAUUGUAUAUACCUGUGGCCAUGGAAGUGACUGGAACACCUGAAUUCAGUGAUUUGAAGGGGUGUCCCAAAACUUUUGGUUGGUUGGUGCUGUACCUGUGCAGUUACAAUGCCAUUUAAUAGAAGAAUUAAAAAAAAUUAAACAUCAGGGAUAAAGAUCAGGACUCAAAGUUUUGGAAUGCAAUGCAUCUGUAUGCUGCAGUUGCUCUGAGUUAUGCGAGAUGCUCGGCUCAGCUAGUUAGAGAUCUAAAAGAUUAGAGGUGCAAUGGUACUGAUAACAACAUUAAAGUGGAGCUGAAGCUUUGGAACCUUUAAGAAGGUGAGAAUAAUGGACUUGCUGCAUCACUGUUUUUAAACGAGAUGAACGUCUUGUGAGUUUAAGGGGUUAAAAUUUUUCAUAGAGCUGAAUGCUGAGACUACAGUCUCCCAACCACAGGGACAAUGUCAAACGGGGACAAAAGAAUGCAGAGUCAGGAAAUGCACUCCAGCCAGAGGAAAAUACUGAUACACAAAAGUAUGUAAUUAUAUAUGGUCAAGUCAAUAAGAUAUUCUGAACUUGAUAGAGAAAGCUAUACCUCAUGGGAAGUAGAAUCUGAAGCUUAAGGUUACAUUAACUCCUAAAACAACACUAUCUAAAACAGACCAGCAGGCCUCUCUGCUAGGGGAUUGCAAGGGUUUCCGAGCUCUGUAUGCAGUCCAAAACUAAACUAACUGACUGGAAAACUAACACCUAACAUGCUUGAUAGGAGUGUAUAUCAUCUUCUGGGACAAUACAAAAAUUCAUUUUCACCAGAACUGCCAAGCACAGAGACCGAACCUCCUUCACUGAUUGAAAGAUAAAGAGACUAUGCCUCUUUCGCUAGGCCUGACAGACAUGAAUGUCAUACCUCCUUUGCUGGAACUGACAGGCACAGACCCCAGAUUUUCUUUACUGCAAUUGCACAAUGGUCAUGUCUCCAUUAUUGGGACUGACAGGCUCACAAACCAUGCACUGAAAGAAAGAAGCCAUGCCUUAUUCUCAUAUUUGACUGAAAUGCACACAGGUCAUGCCUCCUUCACUGGAACUGACAAGCAGAAAGGCCACACCUCAUUUACUGAGACUGACAGGUAGAAAGCUUACUCCUCCUACACUGGGACUGAAAAACAUGGCGACCACACCUCCGUUUCCAGAACUGACAGGCACAGAUGCCACACCGCCUCCAUUCUGACUGAUAGGCACAAAUUUAUUACGGGAACUGACAGAGCUAAAACCUACAGCGUGCAUAAUAGCAUUUUAUCACAUUUUAUUUCAACUGUUCUAUAAAUUCCGUGUGAUUGAAACUGUGGUGUUGAUUCACGUUAAAACUAUAAUACUGCGAUCUUUCCUGGCUUUACAUAUCGGAAAGGUAACGAGCAAUUUAAAUUGCAUUUUUGUGCAUUCAAGUUAUUACUAGAGGGGUAUGCAAAGCUCUACUGCAGACCAUAAUUUGCACUUCUGCAAGACUGAUUAAUAUACAGAAAUUACCAAAGAGAUCAAACAGCUGUCCUGGGAGUGAUUGUGCGUCCUGCUGUAUGUAAAAUCGAUGUGUUCAGAAGUGUGAAGGCUUUUUAGAGCCAGUGUGACUGCAGACAGACAGAAGAAAGGACCGGAGACUAGAAGAUGAGAGGUGCCGAGUCAGCAAGGGUUUGAAAACGCACAUCAUAUUGUCUGUCUCUCUCCAUGCUGCAUUAUUCAUCGCUCUCCUAUGCUUCUCCUAACGAUUCUUUGACACACUGACAGCAUGCGUAUUUGUGUGAGCGUGAGUGUGUGGGUCUUAACAGCCUGGGGAUUAAAAAAGAGAGAAAGUCCAAGCCAACCAUUCAAAUGACGUACCACAGACAGUAUUGCUGGCAGCCUGCAUUUGUCACUGCAUGUAUGAGUGUGGGGGAUGGAGUGAUAAAAUGACAGAAAACAGAAAAAAAAAAGAGCAAAGGAAGUGCCUGGUCUCACCUGGAAGAAAGGGGAUGAUGCGCUUCUUGGGGUCCUUCUGCCCUCCCUCGAUUGGGAACUUGUCGAGAAGCUGCAUCUGGAGAAAAAAAAAAAAAAGGAAGGGACAAACACACGUCAACACAAGAAUCUAAACCGGACAAACUGCUUGUGCAGCCUUAAUCGAUUUCAAGCUUUCAGAAUCUAAGAUUGGUUUGAUUUGUUUUACACUACAGCCAUCUAUAACGUCCGAGCGGCAUGUUGUUAUAGCGAUGAUAUCCGACACUAUAAAUCACUGACAGCUGCAGUACCUCCAUCUGAAGAGAAAGAGCUGUGCCAUCUCCGAACGCAGCCUCGGCUUCGAAUUCGACACGAUUCUGAUUUCUCCUUUUUAUCAUUUCAGGGAUGAGCCACCAGGUCGCGACCUCUCUCCUACUUAGUCACUCGAUGGGUUCCUCUAAGUGCCCAACCAAUUAAUCACAUCCCUCCUAGAGCACACACUAGCCAUUCUGGCCGCUAAUGAGUGUGCAUGUGGGGGUGUGUGCAUGUGCUGAUGUGUUUUCUAAAGCGCUUCUGUGAAAUCAUUCAUAAUGGCUAUUUUAUAAAACAAUAUACCACUGAGCGCAAACUUCUGACACAUAAGGUGCCAUUUCAGCUGUAUUAUAUUCAUCCUCCUGCACAUAAUUGCCCAUUUUGUGCGUCGCAGACAAACUGGGUGCCUCAUUUCUGACAGAAAAUGACGGAGGAAGAUAAACAAACUAGUGGGCCUAGGAUGACAAAAACGGCUUUCGUGGAGCCGCUCAAAAGAAUUUUUUUGGUUUUUUUUGCUUCAAGGACGGUCAAAUAAAGGUUUUGUUCUCGGAGUUAGAAUCCAGGUAAAUGCUCGUGAACUCAUAACUGUGGUCCUCAAGGUCCAAUUACGAUACAAUAUCCUAAAUAAGAUUUAAAGAUACACUGCACUCACAUUCCUGUGUGAAAUAUACAAAUGAAAAGAACAGAUGAUGGACUCUUGAGGCAUUAACCCACUGACCUGCAUCCCUGCUCCAGGUUUCCUGCUCAGCUUUAUAGCCUUGUGACAUUUUCAUUCCUAAAGGUACUAAAAUGACAACUAAAACUGCUGAACUAGUUCGAUGAGGACUUAAACGAAAAUAAUGAAUUGAUCCUUUAUUAAAUCCUGAUUGAUCCUGAUAUUAAAUCAAGGAUAAGGGUGUUCUAUGGCGUGAAACACAUUGGAUGCACAUUGGUUUUUUCAAUGUAAUUG